GCGUCGGGUCUGUGAAGGGUGAGGGUAAAAAAGAGAAAGGGGGUUGGGUUGGUGAGGGGAGGGGAGGGUUAGGCAAGGGGGAAGGGAUAAGGAGGAGUGAUAGGUGGCGAUGGAAUGGGGUCGACGGGGGUGGUUAGGCAAGGGGGAAGGGGCAGUUGGCUCGUGCGUGGGUGGUGGUGGGUUGAAGAAGGAAGGAAGGGAAAAAGAGAAAAGGAAGGAAAAAGAAAAAAAAGGGAAAUGGGACGGGGAAGGGGUGAUGGAGUGGGAGGGUGACGGUGACGGUGACGGUGACGGUCAUGGUGGCAGUGAACGACGGUUAGUGAUGGGGAUUUGUAAAGAGCUUGAGCGACCGAUGGUUAGGGGAAGAGGUGGAAAAGAAGACAAAGUCAAAGAAAAUUAGGAUUUGAGGGCUAAAAAGGGUGACAAGGGUGACACAAUCG
rnacentral:lncRNA from 1 species